CUGGCGGCAUGCCUUACACAUGCAAGUCGAACGGCAGCACGGGAGCAAUCCUGGUGGNGAGUGGCGAACGGGUGAGUAAUAUAUCGGAACGUGCCCGGUCGUGGGGAUAACGUAGCGAAAGCUACGCUAAUACCGCAUACGAUCUACGGAUGAAAGCGGGGGAUCGCAAGACCUCGCGCGAUUGGAGCGGCCGAUAUCAGAUUAGGUAGUUGGUGAGGUAAAGGCUCACCAAGCCGACGAUCUGUAGCUGGUCUGAGAGGACGACCAGCCACACUGGGACUGAGACACGGCCCAGACUCCUACGGGAGGCAGCAGUGGGGAAUUUUGGACAAUGGGCGCAAGCCUGAUCCAGCAAUGCCGCGUGCAGGAUGAAGGCCUUCGGGUUGUAAACUGCUUUUGUACGGAACGAAACGGUGAGCUCUAAUACAGUUUGCUAAUGACGGUACCGUAAGAAUAAGCACCGGCUAACUACGUG
rnacentral:rRNA from 1 species